rnacentral:lncRNA from 1 species
UCGUUUAGCCCCUUUUUAUGCGAAAGUAGUCCGCUCAAUACAACAAUUGCAAGAGGUAAGCCUCUACACUUUUCCACCAUAUCCUUAGCUAGACUUUCCAUUUCUGGAACCAUUGCUCCAACAUCAAGCAGUUUCCUACAAAAGAGAUCCCAACUUUCUUCUUGACUUAGGAAACGAAGUUUAUGAACAAAACNNNNNNNNNNNNNNNNNNNNNNNNNNNNNNNNNNNNNNNNNNNNNNNNNNNNNNNNNNNNNNNNNNNNNNNNNNNNNNNNNNNNNNNNNNNNNNNNNNNNNNNNNNNNNNNNNNNNNNNNNUAAGAAGAUCCAUUGUGUUGUACUCUUGAGAAACACAUAUCCAAGAGCGUGUAGGGAAACUAGAGGCUAUAUUAGGACUGGUGUAAAGUUUUCUCGCAAGAGUGGUCUUGCCUAAACCCCCCAUUCCAUAAAUGGAGAGGACGCUUCGACGAGGCUCUGCUUUGAGAAGUUCAGCUAGCAAGUUUUGUACAACAUCCUGAAAGCCAACAAAAAUGUAAUCGUGGUCAUCCACAUAUGAGGUAGUUCUCCUCAAUGUUGCAACCUGAUUACUUGGCCCUUCUCCAGCAUUACUAUUGAUAUUUGUAAUACCAUAAGUCUCUCGUUUGCGAGAGAUAUCCAUGAUUCGUUUCUUGAGUGAUUUGAUCUCCUUGGCGACAUUGUAGAAUUUCUUCUCCUUCCUACAUAUGCAAGCACAAGCCUUGAGAUAACUAGCACGUUUACCAGCCUCAAAGCUGUAAGUUUCGAGUAUAGCAACAGCGUCAUUAGCAAUAGAGUUGAUCUCAAACACCCAUUGUACAACUCUAUGAUCCGCACAUUGCUUUAGUUCUGCAUCUUUGAGGAAAGGUUGUAUGAAGAGUAGCUCAUUUCUCAGCCAUGUAAUUUCAUCUCUGAGACUUGUAAGCAGGGAAACUUGUUGACUGAGGAAAUCGCCCAAUUUUCGUAGUGCAAAUGACAGAAAGGCAUCAGCCAUCUUCAGGAGUGUUGAUUUUUAUUUAGAAAAGAGGGGGCUGUAGGCUGUAUAUAUACAAAUAAAGUUUAAGUCAAGAAUUGAUAUAAGGCCAAAAAUGGACGAUCAAUACGAAAGCAAGACAUGAAUUAUUUGCCGGCAUAUGCAUUGGUUAAAACACUAUGUGGCUGUGUUUGAUACUCAUCAAUGUCAUAUCAUGAUAACAAGUUAAGACAAUUCAAAUUGAAUUAUCACCUGAAAUUAAAUUUAUCUUUUGUAGUAACAUAAUCAGUAAUCACAUAUAGUUCCCUGAUAGUACAUAUAUUUUUUUUAAAUACAAUUUCCUUAGUAAAAAUCAUAGCACUCAUAGUGCAUAUAAUUUUUUCUUAAAAAUUAUCAUUAUAAGUAAAAAUAAAAUAAAAUGGGACCCCAAAAAUAUGGGCCCCAAGUAAUGGAUUUAGUGGCCUAGGGGUUAAGACGGCCCUGGUUGUGGUAAAUGACAGUUAGUGGUAUUAAAUACUUCUAGUAAUUCUAUUUUAUCAUUUACCGUAACUUUAUUAUAAUAGCUUUAUCACGCAACCUAUUUUAUUAUAAUACGAUAAAGAGGUUGUUUUCGAAAGACCCUUGGCUCAAGAAAAAGAUUUUGAAAGAAAUGCAAGAGCCAAAAAAGUUGCUAUGAAAAUAUGGAUUCCUCUGAAUAUUUAGUGAAGUCUGAAUUCUGAUACCAUGACGGUUUCUGAAGAAACCAGAAACUUCUCUAACAGACUAGUAAUUUGAUGAAGAAUAUUUAGUGAAAACUAAAAACAAGUAGCACCAAAAGCAUGGAAUAUUUAAUUUGCAUUGAUGGAGAAAUCAAGUUCUUGAGUUUUGUAAAAUAGACAAACACUGACUCUGUACCUUGCUGCAGAGUUGCAAUCUCCUUAUUUAGACUGAAGGUUCUUGAUCCGUCCAAGGGUCUUUCGAAAACAAUCUCUUUGUAAAAUAGACAGACACUGACUCUGAAUUCUGAUACCAUGACGGUUUCUGAAGAAACCAGAAACUUUUCAAACAGACUAGUAAUUUGAUGAAGAAGAUAGCUUCAUUUACUUGAUGAGUAACAAUCAGAUGUGAGUAGUCUAUUUAUACUACUCAAUAAGCUACUCAAUACAAGUUGUUGUUAGUAACUAACUGUCACUAUCUAUAACUAACUUAGUAACUAAUUAAUUAACACUCUUUUCUAACUGUUUUCUGGAAGUAGUCUGACAGAUUUCUUUGUUUGAGUUCUAUCAACAUGGUGCUAGAUAGUUAAAACAAAAACAACCAACAUUAUAGUAGAUCAAGCUAUAAUUAAUUUGAUUUAUGAAAAAACAUAGAACCAAUAGAGAAAAACAAUUGAGAAAGAUUGAACAACAGAGUCUUGCGUCUUAAGUGAAGAACUAAUCAUAAACUUAAAAGAAAGAAUUUCACUGAGAAAACGAUUUGGGUGGGGGAGAGGUGGGGGAAGACGAUUUCACAUGUCUUUAUUUAAUUCGUCACUUUGACGUGUCAUCAGCGAGUGUGUUACACACACCUUACACAUUUGGCUGAUUGUUAAAAAAGUGUCAAAAAGACAUAACGGGGCAUAACAUGAGGUGUCUAAAAUGAACAAAUUCUAGUUAAAGUGUCUAAGUGAAAACUUGUGCCAACUUUAGGUGGCCACCGAUGGAUUAGGCCAAUGAUAGUUAGGUACGAGCAUUACUCAUUCAGCUAAUAAACUAGAGCCUACUCUUGUUGCCCCGAUCCACAGAGAUUUAGUCAUUUGGCACUCUGAUUGUCUUACGAGGAGAUCCAUCUGUUGAUUUUUGGUGUGACCCUAAUUUCUAUUUCGUUCAUGUUUUUUUUGUCUUUCCAUUGUUUUGUUGUUGUAAUGUGAUUUCUUAUGUUUGUUAAAGUUGCAAGAAUUUUCAGGUUUAUGUCAGAAGAUUCAGUACUACUACUCACUACUAGUUAUCUAAUUUAAGUUAAACAAAGAGGAACUUGAAAAUAUUAGUUUAGAACAAAGUAACUUAAAAGAGACUAAAAUACUAAGUGUAAAUUACAAGAGAGAAAUGAAAACAUAUAGCCUUUGGUAGCCAAAAUCCAAAGUUGCAUUGUCUCUCCUCUGAUGGAUUAUUUUCCCUCUUCAAACUUCGAUGAGUUAGGGAUGACCUCUGAUAUAGCCUUUGGUAGCCAAAAUCCAGGUCGUUCGAUAGAGGCUGCACGAUCAAGUACCAAUGGAUCCCGCAAUGUGAUCUGAAUGCCAUCAUAUGUCCACAACUCUAGCUAAGCCAGCAACCGCAACAUCCAUGUUCUUGACAUUCCAGCUCGUUCCACGUGCUUUUACUUCCUGCUUUGGCCAUUGUCCUAAUUUAGAAACUCGCUCCAUAGAAAUCAGAGGCGGAAGAUAAGAAAAAAAAAAAAAGGAACAAUUAGAGGAUUUUAUUUACACAUACGGCACUAUGACAUCUGCUAUUGGCUAACUUGCAACAUGUUGUUAGUUGUUAACUUGUUUUUGCAACUACGACUUCUCUUUAGCAAAGAAUACUAUCUCACCUUUCAUUGUACUUCUCUCAAAUCUAUAUGUUGAUAUUCAACAAAAAACAUAAUACUCAUGUAGUUCAAGUGGAAUUGGCUAUAAAGUAGGAAAUAUUAUUGAAUCAGAAAUAGUGCAGGAAUUGGAGUAUAACCUGCAAUCUCACUCCAGCAUGGUUUUCUGUCUUUACUAGAUGAAGAGACACACUAGGUGAUGCCCAGACAGUGAUGUAGAUUGUUUCAACUGAGGCUUGAACUAGAUCCAGUCUAACUAUAUGUACAGUCUGCCCAUGCUGCAAGAAAAUGGUGAAAAUUGCAUUUUAGAGUCGAAAAGUCAUUUUUGCAGCCUUACCCUGCAUUUAAGGAAGAGGCUGUUUUCACAACUCGAACCCAUGACCUCCUAGUCACAUGGAAGCAACUUUAUAGUUACGUCAAAGCUCCCCUUCAGUAGACAAGUAAGAAAAGAUGUCCUCCAGUGGAAAAGGAAAACCAAAUAUAUCAGUCCCUCCCUUAACCAAUUGAGACUUGAUCUGGUUAAAUAUUAUGAAAAUAUUUUCUUUUCUCUUCAAGUGACAAUUUCUUCUCCUGUUUCCCCCAAAUAUUAUUUAACACGUACGCUAUUUAUAAAAUAAAAAUGAACAAAGUUAUGUAUAGGUACCUUUGCUAUUACCGAAGAAAACUUGCCAUAUGCUUGCCAAGAUCCAUCUCAUUUAAUUUCUCUUCAACAUCUUUCAUUCUCUCUGGAGUCUCCUUCAGCUCUGAACAGUGAUGGAUACCAAGACCUUUAAUGAGAGGCAUUGCACUUGUGCCUAAAUGCCAUCUUUCUAGGUUCCGAAGUUUUAUAAGAUGAAGGAACUCGAGUUGACUGAAGCUGUUAUCACUGCACAUUAUUUCUUUUCCUUCAUAAGCAUCUUCUAAUAUGAGAUUCCUUAGGUUUGGCAACAUUCCCAAAGUAGGCAUCGGAUCUUCCAUGAAUUUUGACUUCCUAAGAACCAUCAUUGUGAUGGAAUUUGGAAACAGAGGCAGUUUCUCUAUUUUCCCAUGUAAGCACAAUUUCUGGAGCUUUUGACAAGAAUUAACAAAUUCCAGGGAUGGGAAUGAUUCAAAACGUUCACAAAACAAUCUGAGAGUGCUAAGGUUUUUCAAGAUGCUAAUGUUGUUUAAGGAGUAAGAUUUCUUAAUACGUUGCAUGCUUAAUUCUCCAAGAUUGACUAAAUCAACAGGGUCAACAUCUAUCCACUGAUCACAACAAACGCCUUGAAGAACUUGAAGACUAGUGAGUUUGCUUAUAAGUUUCAGAGGUUUUGAAUACGAAGCAACUAAAUGUCUUAGAUUUAUCAGGUCAGCUGUCACGCGGGGUAGUCUGCAAGAGUAUAGCCCCUCAUUGACAAUAAGUGUCUGUAGAUUCUUGAGGUUGCCAAUGGAAGAUGGAAGAUCAUGGAUACCUCUCAAUCUUAAGAACUUGAGGUGGUACAAACUUCCUAUGGCAUCAGGUACUGAUGCAGAAUGCCUAUUGUAAACAGGCAUAUCCAAGUACAACACAUAUAGAUGCUGGAAAACACUCCUGAAUUUUAUAAGACUCAUCUUAUGAAAAUCUGGAUCAAAGAACAUAAUUGACCUCAACUUUAAGUUAGAAAGAUCAAGUGAGAGGUACCUUACUCCUUGACUAUGAAUGCCAUGUCUGAUACAUAAAGAGGAUAUGGAGUGGUUCUUUGGAUCAUAAAUGUCAAAGAAGUUCACCUCCAAUGCCUUUUGUAUCACAAGAUCACGAAGUAAAUCAUGAACCCUACAAUGAGUAACUUUUUCCCAAAAUGUGUCUACCACUUGAACCAAGCUUCUUCUUAUCAGCUCAUUCAAGAAGCCUUCAGCCACAUCCUCCAUUCUUUCUUCUCCAUUUGGUACGAAACCCUCAGCCAUCCACAACCUUAUUAUGUUAUCAGCCUCGAGAACUUGAUCUUCUGGAAAAAUACCAAAGUACAGAAAACACUGCUUGAGCACAGUUGACAAAAUCAUUGUAGCUUAAGGAUAGAAUGCAGGAGAUUUCAAUAAAUUUAUCUUCAAUAAUGUUCUUCCAAAGUUGAUCUUUCACUUCUUGCCAUUUGUCCACCCCCCUCUAUGCGAAAGUAGUCCACUCAAUACAACAAUUGCAAGAGGUAAGCCUCUACACUUUUCCACCAUAUCCUUAGCUAGACUUUCCAUUGCUGGAACCAUUGCUCGAACAUCAAGUAGUUUCCUACAAAAGAGAUCCCAACUUUCUUCUUGGCUUAGGAAACGAAGUUUAUGGAUAAAACCUCUGUUGUCUGCUCUUUCAGCGACAUCCUCUUUGCGCGUGGUAAUAAUAACUCUGCUGCCAUUCUUGCUAUCCGGGAAUGCUCUUUUCAAACUUUCCCAUGCUUCUCUCUGCCAUACAUCAUCAACCACCACAAGGUAUUUGCGUUCUUUUAAUAGAUCACGAAGAUAAAUUUCUAGAUCUCCUUCUGUCAUCCUUUCCAACAAAUCUAGAGUUUCGUUGGUGCGCCCUUGGAUGGAUUUUAUGAUAUUCCUGAAAAGAUCCAUGGUGUUGUACUCUUGAGAAACACAUAUCCAAGAGCGUGUAGGGAAACUAGAGGCUAUAUUAGGAUUUUUGUAGAGGUUUCUUGCAAGAGUGGUCUUGCCUAAUCCGCCCAUUCCAUAAAUGGAGACGACGCUUCAACGAGGCGCUGCUUUGAGAAGUUCAGAUAGCAAUGUUUGUACAACAUCCUGAAGUCCAACAAAAAUGUAAUCCUGGUCAUCCACAUAUGAGGUAGUUCUCCUCAAUGUUCUGACCUGAUUACUUGGCCCUUCUCCAGCAUUACUAUUGAUAUUUGUAAUACCAUAAGUCUCUCGUUUGCGAGAGAUAUCUAUGAUUCGCUGCUUGAGUGAUUGAAUCUCCUCGGCGACAUUGUAGAAUUUCUUCUCCUUCCUGUAUAUGCAAGCGCAAGCCUUGAGACAACUAACACCUUUACCAGCCUCAAAGCUGUAAGUCUCGAGUAUAGCGACAGCAUCAUUAGCAAUAGUGUUGAUUUCAAGCACCCAUUGUUGAACUCUAUGAUCUACACAUUGCUUUAGUUCUGCAUCUUUGAGGAAAGACUGUAUGAAGCGUAACUCAUUUCUCAGCCAUGUAACUUCAUCUCUCAGACUUGUUAUCAGUGAAAUUUGUUGAAUGAGGAAAUCACCCAAUUUUUGAACUGCAAAUGACACAAAGGCAUCAGCCAUCUUUAUGGUUGAAAAAAAGAAGAGAUGACUAUUGGAAAUCAAUAUUUUUUGAAAAAAGGUAGUGUGUAUGGAAAUUAAUAUUGGAAGCAGUAGAUUGAGAGAUGAAUAAUAUUGUUAUGAUGGAAUAAAUUAUUGAGAGUUUGAUAAGUGAUGAAUAUUGUUAACAUGGAAUUCAGUAUUUAAAGCUUAAAAAAUCCGACAGAGGAAAAAGUCUAAAAGUAGAAAGAUGAUAGAGUUUGAGGUUGAUGGUAAAGAAAGAAAAGUAUAUAUUCUCUACUAACUGCAAGCCAAGAAUUUAAAAUUGCAUGACACAAGUUAUGCUCAGUGUAGUGGUGAAGCCAAAAGUUGCCAUUCAAGAUUUAGUAUAUAUGUAUGAAAAAUAAGUUUUAACUUUUGUAUAAUUUUUUAUAUACAUAGUAUAAUUUUUCGACGAAAAAUGUCUGAUUGAACACCCUAAGCUAUAUGUGGCUACGCCACUGCUUCAUUGGCACAAGUUGUGUGUUUAGACAAGAACUUAUGUCCCAAGGCACAAGUCCCCCAGAGCAAACAACAACAACAAGUAGGGUCUGGAGAGGGCAAAAUGUAUGCAGACCGUACCACUACCUCGUGGAGGUAAAGGUUGUUUCAAAAAGGCCCUCGGCAAUAAGUCCCCUGGGUCAAAUAUCACGAUAUUUCUGUACUUUAUACUUUACUUAAAAAGACAUAGUAUCAUAUUAGAUCAAAUUUUAUUAUUCAGAAGAGUUGGUUUAAUUGUUCCUCCACCUAAAUCACUUUUUGCUAAUUAAUUUCAUCUUUAAAUUAUAGAUACCUUUCUUUUCUUUUUAACUAUCCUUGUUAGGGGAAUCUAUAGGAAAAAAUAUGAUGAACAUGACUUCUCAAUUUGAAGAUGCGUUUUGUAACUUUGAAGAGAAGAAAUAAAAUAUUUGAAUUCAGUCUCGGAGGUUAUUCCAAAAAGAUUUUGUAAGAGCUUGAAGGUCAAUAUCUCAAAAUUGAUUUGCUGAAAAAGAAUUUUGUUUCGAAUUGGUGAUUUUUCAAAAGAACUGAUGAAACAUCGAUGAGACUAAUAAUAUAAAAUUUGAGAUUAUUUGGGUAACAUUUGAAUUAGCUUUAGACUGAAUUUUUAAUUAUAGUUCGUUGAAAUUCAAAAUUACCGUCGAAUUAUAUCAAAAAUCAUAUGAUAAUCAUAUAGUGACGGAUGCAUUAUAUGUAAAUUGUUUUUUAAGUUUGGUAUUUUAUUGUAGUUGUAUUGUUUUCGGUCUCCCACUCGGUGUCCGAUACCCGCUAGAGCUCGACUAUCUCGAAUUCGCGCCGUGUAGAGCCAUUUGAGGGGAAGCGCUCUCUAACAAGUAAAUUCCACAGUACUCUUUAAUAUAAUUUUAUUUUAUUUUUUACUAAUUAAUUCAAAGAAGUAGAAUACUCUAUGGUUAAUUUUUGCAUAAAAAUUAGGAAAAAAACAUCUCAGAAAGUUACUUAGUUAUAACAAGCAACAAACAGUUUUGUGAACUAAUAGCCCACCAAUAAGCUCUUUAACAUAAGUAAUUUAUGUAGGGAAACUUUCGCAUAUAGCCACUAAUUAUAAAAAUAGCUUAAUUAUGUAUAUUGCCACUAAAAAUAGCUUAAUUAUACAUAUUGCCACUAAAAAUAGCUUAAUUAUGCAUAUAGCCACUAAAAACAAGUUAUACCAAAAUCAUGGAAUAUUUAAGUUGCAUUGAUGGAGAGACCAAUAGAGAUGGACAAAUCUAUUUAAACAACAUGUGAAACUCAAAACAAAUAGAAGAUAGGAAGAUAUACAAUAAUAGAGAGGCUAGAUACAUAUGGAUUCAAUUUUGAAAAUGAAAAUUCUAACCACAUUCCUUAUAAUUGGAAUAUUUUUGUUUGAUAGUUUUGUGAGAAGUGAACCAAAUACCAAAGAGAUUAGCCAUAUUUGCAAUGGGAAUGUGUAUGAUAAGACUUAAGAGUGGCCCAUUUGCACUAAGUUUGGCUUAUGCUGUUGAAGCAUUACAAAAUGUGACACUAAAUCAAGGUUAUGAUUACUUCAUAACAUCUCCUUAUCCUAAUGAUGCUUUAGCUUAUGGCCAUGCUACUUAGCUUGCAACUCCAUUAUUGAAUUUUCAGAUUGUGGCCUUUGUCUAAGUAGUGCAAAAUCAUUCUUGUUGAGUAAUUGUGAUGGUAGCAUUGGAGGUCAAGUUGAAUUUGUUGAUUGCUCAAUGAGGUACGAACAAUACUCGUUCAGCUAAUAAACUAGAGCCUAAUCUUUUUGCCAUGAUCCACGAAGAUUCAGUCAUUUGUCACUCUGAUUGUCUUAUGAAGAGAUUCCUCAUUGAUUUUUGAUGUAUCCCUGAUUCCUAUCUCGUUUCGUUCAUCUUCGUUUCUUCCUUUUUCCGUUGUUUUGUUUAUUAGGAAAGGCAAGCACAAAAUAAAUGUGCACGACAGGGCAAUAGCGGAAGAAAAUCCAAGUAAAAAAUUUCCCUUCUAUUUGAACCAAGAGAAGACAAAAUAAUGCAAGAAAAACACUGUUUGGGGUCGCAAACAAAUCAAUCAAGCAAAUAAAAUAAAUACAAACACGAGACACCAUAUUUAACAUGGAAAACCUCUUCGGUGUGAAGAGUAAAAACCACAAGGCCAAAGCUCCACUAAAAUCAACAAGAGUUACAAAAGUGUUCUCCAAAAUGGUCACCAACAAAGUGUCAAACAAUGAGCAACACAACUACAAGAUAGCACCAAACACUAGAGAAAUAAAAGGAGCAAAAACACCAAAUAUGCAGCUACUGUUCACGAGCAAAAAUCUGGAGUUACAGGACUCCAAAACACCCUCUUUCAGUUCUCAAUCAAAGAUUAAGUUGGAAGGAACAAGCUGUACAAAAAGCAGCUCAAUCGGAUAAGAAACGAAGUUGGAAUCGCGAUUUGAAAUUGGCUGCAAGGGCUUGUGCGAAAAUCUGCACUCUCUCACUGUUGUCUCUAUAUGUCUACUCUCAAUCUCAUGUAAUUCUUCAAAAUAAGACCUAAAAAGAAAGUCUUACAUAUGCACCAUAAUAUUGGGCUUAUAGACAAAAGUGGGCUAAUCAAAUUUGAGCUAAAUUUAUCCACAUAGGAAGGGAAAAAGGCCCAAAACCCAACAUUGUUGUUGACUUGUUGUAUCUAUAUGUACUAGAUGGUGGGUGCCCGGGCGCGCACGGACCCAAUAUUUAUACAUCUCUGUGUGUAAAAAUUAUCUUGGAACGCAAAACAGAUGAGAUAGCAGCACCAAAACAAAUGGAUCUAAAUCAAUGAGCAUCAAAAGAACACCAGAGAACGGUAACAAAAAAAUUUAUGCUUUAUUUAGUAGUUAACAUGAACUACAUGCAGUAGGAUGAUAAACAUAGCAAAUAAAGAGGUCUAAAAUAUAUUGAAUAAAUUAAGAAUUUAAAAUGCAAUUAUAACAGUGCAACGAUGUUUGUUGAACAACAAACAUAGAAUCAAAGUUAGGAAACCUCUCAUUUUGAGAAAUUUAUAGAAUCUUUCUUAAAGUUCAGUUUUAAUAACAAAAUGGUUUAUCAAAAUUUUAUUGAUCAAGAUAUCAAAUCUCACCAUAGGAGCUAGGUCAUUCUCAUGUGAUAUUAUAAGAUUUUCAAUAGCUACAUAUUAAUUUAUCAGAAGCUCAACUAUCCAAAUGAAUUUUAAAAGAUGCAUUUCAUUUUUUACCGUUAAUUCUAUACUACCUUAAAAGCAUUAACUCCAAACUUGAAUGUUGAAUUACAAUAAUACCCCCAAUUAAAAAUACUCAAUUUAUUUAUUUAUUAAUUUAAAUAAGUUUAUUAUAUUGAAAGUAGAUACCUUUUCAAAUUAAAGGAUUGCGACUUUUUCAAUGAGUUGUGACUUUUUUUUUACGGGUUCUGACUUUUUCAAUGAGUUGUCACUUUUCCAAAGGGUUGUGAUUUUUUCGAAGGGCUGUGACUUUUCUAAAGGGUUGUGCCUUUUCUGAUGAGUUGUGCCUUUUUCAAAGGGUUGUGGCUUUGCUGAUAUGCAGUGACUUUUUUGAAAGGUUGUGACUUUUCGGAUAAGGCACAAUUAANNNNNNNNNNNNNNNNNNNNNNNNNNNNNNNNNNNNNNNNNNNNNNNNNNNNNNNNNNNNNNNNNNNNNNNNNNNNNNNNNNNNNNNNNNNNNNNNNNNNNNNNNNNNNNNNNNNNNNNNNNNNNNNNNNNNNNNNNNNNNNNNNNNNNNNNNNNNNNNNNNNNNNNNNNNNNNNNNNNNNNNNNNNNNNNNNNNNNNNNNNNNNNNNNNNNNNNNNNNNNNNNNNNNNNNNNNNNNNNNNNNNNNNNNNNNNNNNNNNNNNNNNNNNNNNNNNNNNNNNNNNNNNNNNNNNNNNNNNNNNNNNNNNNNNNNNNNNNNNNNNNNNNNNNNNNNNNNNNNNNNNNNNNNNNNNNNNNNNNNNNNNNNNNNNNNNNNNNNNNNNNNNNNNNNNNNNNNNNNNNNNNNNNNNNNNNNNNNNNNNNNNNNNNNNNNNNNNNNNNNNNNNNNNNNNNNNNNNNNNNNNNNNNNNNNNNNNNNNNNNNNNNNNNNNNNNNNNNNNNNNNNNNNNNNNNNNAAAAAAAAUAAUUAUUUUUUGAAAUAGCUAUAUGUGCCGUCCCGUUUAUCCCAUCCCGUUCCGUUCCGGUCCAUUCCGGUCCGUCCCGGUUCUAUCCCGGUAUAUAGUGGGACGGGACGGAACCGAGCCUCCAUCCCGGUAGUUCCGGUCCGGUUCAUCCCGGUACCGGUCAACAACCCGGUCAAACCGUCCCGUUCCGGUCCGGUUCCGGUUCGUUCCGGUCCGGUGGUCCCAUUCCGGUCCGGUGCCCAGCCUUAGGCACAAUUAACACCUAUUCAUACUACUAUUUGACAGUUAUAAAAAGAGGGGUUUCCUCGCACUUUUAAACUACAUUUUCUUUAAGUUCUCUACUCUUCUUUUUCUUAAAAAAUCUCAAGUGUUAUUUGCAAAAAUUGAUUAAGUUCAAAAUUCGAGGUACCUCAUAAGAAAAAGUUGGUGAAAAAAUUGUAGGAAUCAUUCAUCAAUUCACACUCGUAUUUUUUUCUUACCAUUUUCAUGAGUUCAGUGACGAAAAGUUGUGGGAGAGACAAAAUAUUAAACAGAUAUGAAAAAAGGCAUAUGAUUUGGGUAAGAUAUUUCUUCUUUGUUUUUUAUUUUCUAUUCUUUUCCCUCAAACGAAGGAGUUUCUUCCUAAUUUUUCUAAAACAAUGGGUAUCAACGUAGUCCAUUGAAUUAUUAGUUUUGAUAUUAAAUUCAUUAUUCAAAAAUAGAUUUUCACUUUUACUUAUAAUAUGAUAACAUAGUCAUGAUAAUAAUUAUUUUUAAUAGAUAUGUAUGUAAAAAUGAAAGGAGAAAGUAAAGUGUUGGUGGCAAGAGAUUUAAAUCAAAUGGAACACUAGAGUGAAUAUAGCAUGAACAUAUAUUUUUGUCUUCCUUCUUCAUUGACUAUGUAUUGUUCCAUAUAAUUUUUCUUUAUGUCACAAGAUGCACACUCCUUACUAGCUAUAUAAAAAUAGAUAAGAAAAUUGUGAUUGAUCAUUAAAUGAUCUUAUAUCAUAUUAAUGAUUCUAUAAAUAAUACUUUACAUUUUAUUCAUCUAUUGUUUUUUAUUAUUGAAAAUAUUAAAUAUUUAAUAUCAUGAUACAACUUCUAUAAGAUACUAAUACUUUCAUUAGACAACAACUAUAUGAUAUGUAUGCGGCAAAAAAAAGGAGAAGACUACAACUCCACAAAGAUAAGGUAGAAACUUAACGAAAUGAAAUAUUUUUCAUCAUAGGUGAUGUUAUUCAUGUAUUAAAAUUAAAUUAUUCUACUGAAGUAUAUAUAAUCAUCAUUCAUUAUAACAACCAAGUACACCUUUUUUGUAAAAUCACCUCUCUAUGAUAGUCUUACUCAAAUAUUAAUAGAGUAAUAAUAUUUUGUAAAAGAUAUGUUACAUAUAAAGAUAAAAUAUUGAAAUACUUAUGGUAAUCCUUAUUAGUGUCAUGCGCAUACUAAAGUACAAGUAUGAAUAUUUAAGACAAAAUCUGUACUUAAAUGGUGUACAUCAUUUAUGUUUAUAACCUCAAGAGGAAAGGGUAUUGGUGACAUUUUUUUAAUGAAUAUUUUUUUUCUAUUUUGUUGGUUAGAUUUGUUUACAAAAUUGAGUGAAGUAAUAAAUAAUAUUAUUAAAGAAAUGUCACUUUCUCCCAUAUUUAAACUUUGAAUGUAUUUUGAAAUGUUUUAAUGAUAACUAUAAACACAAAUGUUGAUACCCUAUUCUCACUCACUCUUCUACUAUGGUAGAAAUAGAAUGUAUAUAUUUUUUUUACUUUUGUGUUGCAAAUAAUUGAGUUUAGUUCUUUAAUGUCCUUUUGUUUAAAUAGUUGAAUUAUGAGCAAUUUUCUCUUUGGUUUUAUCUUUUUUCUCGUUGACUUAUGUGCGAUUUGCUCACUAUUUCUUUUUCCAAAAAUCUCUCCAUACUAAGCGAGUUUGAAAGUUUUUUUUUUUUUGUUAUUUUCGUUGUACACUGAGCGAGUUCUCAACUUCUUUUAUUAUAUGCCCUCAUAGUAACCCCGUCAUUAAUUGAAGUAGGAUAAACAUUUUCUAAUGAAGAAAAAUCAUUAUUAGGAAAAGAACGUGCUUUAAAAAAAAAAGAAGAGAGAAAUAAUAAACUUAAUUGGAAAAAAGACAGUUUUGACUUAUUAAGUAACAAUAACAACAUUUAUAGAUCAAACUAUUGAAGACAAUGAUAUUUUUGGAUCAAACUAUCCACUAAGAAUAUUUUUAUUCAUUUUACAUGAUUUAAGAAUAUUAUAAACCCUUUUUCCGUUAAUUAAAUCAUCACAAAAUCCAAAAAAAAAAAAAAAAAGUUGUUUUCCAACACAUGUUUCCACACACUAAGAAAAGCCAAAAACAGAAAGAAAUUAAACAUUGAAAAACGAAAACAUAAGAAAAAACAGCAACCUUGAUUGAUGGUUGGAGAAGGCAAGUUGAUGAAGUAAGAGCUUCUUCUCUGUUGAUUUAACACAAAUAUUAUUUAUUUAUAUUUAUAUAAAAGAGGAACAAAAAAAUACUACUAAAUUGUGGACAAGAGAGUAUUUUUAAUAUCAUUUUUUUAACAUAUAAAUAAAGCAUCGUCUUAAAUGUGGAUAAGCAAGAGAACAUACAGUAGACCAAUUAUGUUCAAACCAAUUACAAAGCUUAAAACAAUAAUAAAGAAAUGAAACACUAAAACCACUCAAUUAAUAACCAAUGUGCUUGGCAGAAAUGCCAUGCCCCCAUCAAUACCUCUACGAUUAUGAAGACAUCAUAUAUAUAUAUAUAUAUAUAUGCUUGAAAAGCUUCACCACAUAUAAUUCCUCUUCAACAGCUCCACGUCUUUCAUUCUCUCUGGAAUCUCCUUUAAAUUUGGACAGUCAUGGAUACCAAGACCUUUAAUCAGAGGCAUUGCACUUGUGCCUAAAUCCCAUCUUUCUAGCUUUGAAAGAUCAUAAAGAUGAAGGAACUCUAGUUGACUGAAGCUGUUAUCACUGCACAUUAUUUCUUUUCCUUCAUAAGCUCCAACCAAAUGGAGAUUCCUUAGGUUUGGCAACAUUCCCAAAAUAGGCAUCGGAUCUUCCGUCAGUUUUGAGUUCUCAAGAAGCAUCAUUGUGAUGGAAUUUGGAAACAGAGGCAGUUUCCCUAUUCUCCCUUCUAACCUCAAUUUCUGGAGCUUUUCACAACAAUUAACAAAUUCAAGAGAUGGGAAUGAUUCAGUUUCUCCACAAAUCAAUUUGAGAGUGCUAAGGUUUUUCAAGCUGCUAAUGUUGUUUAGGGAGUAAGUUUUGCUAGUAUGAAACAUGCUUAAUUCUCGAAGAUUGACUAAAUCAACAGGAUCAACAUCUUUCCAUUGAUCACAACAAACUCUUUCAAGAACUUGAAGACUAGUGAGUUUGCUUAUAUGUGCCAGAGGUUUUGAAUACCAAACAACUAAAUGUCUUAGAUUUAUCAGGUUAGCUGUCUCGCGGGGUAGUUUGCAGGAGUAGUAUCCCCCCUCAUUGACAACAAGUGUCUGUAGAUUCUUGAGGUUGCCAAUGGAAGAUGGAAGAUCACGGUUAGCUCUCAAGCUUAAGAACUUAAGGUGGUACAAACUUCCUAUGGCAUCAGGUAUAGCACCACAGCCUUUAAUAUGCAAGUACAACACAUAUAUAUGUCGAAACACAUCUAUAUGUUGGAACACAUUACGAAAAUCCUGAUUGAAGAACAUAAUUGACCUCAACUUCAAAUUAGAAAGAUCAAGUAAGUGAUACAUUUCUCCUUGACCAUGAAAGGCAAGUCUGAUACAUGAAGAGGAUUUGGAGUGCUUUCUUGGAUGAUAAAUGUCAAAGAGGUUUGUGUCGGAUGCCUUUUGUAUGGCAAGAUCACGGAGUAAAUCAUGAACCCUACAUUCAGUAACUUUUUCCCAAAACGUAUUAGCCACUUGAACCAAGCUUCGUCUUAUCAGCUCAUUCAAGAAGCCUUCAGCCACAUCCUCCAUUCUUUCUUCUCCAUUUGGUAUGAAACCCUCGGCCAUCCACAACAGUAUUAUCUUUUCAGCAUCGACCUCUUGAUCUUCUGGAAAAAUACCAAAGUACAGAAAACACUGCUUGAGCACAGUUGACAAAAUCAUUGUAGCUUAAGGAUAGAAUGCAGGAGAUUUCAAUAAAUUUAUCUUCAAUAAUGUUCUUCCAAAGUUGAUCUUUCACUUCUUGCCAUUUGUCCACCCCCCCUCUAUGCGAAAGUAGUCCACUCAAUACAACAAUUGCAAGAGGUAAGCCUCUACACUUUUCCACCAUAUCCUUAGCUAGACUUUCCAUUGCUGGAACCAUUGCUCGAACAUCAAGUAGUUUCCUACAAAAGAGAUCCCAACUUUCUUCUUGGCUUAGGAAACGAAGUUCAUGGCCAAAACCUCUGUCGUCUGCUCUUUCAGCGACAUCCACUUUGCGCGUGGUAAUAAUAACUCUGCUGCCAUUCUUGCUAUCCGGGAAUGCUCUUUUCAAACUUUCCCAUGCUUCUCUCUGCCAUACAUCAUCAACCACCACAAG